rnacentral:rRNA from 12 species
AGGUACAGCCAUAGCAUCCUGCUAGUACCCAAUCCUGUCAGGUCUUGGAAGCUAAACAGAGCUGAGCCUGAUUAGGAUGUGGAUGGGAGACUGCCUUGGAAGACUAGGGGUAACUA